AAGUCGUAACAAGGUUUCCGUAGGUGAACCUGCGGAAGGAUCAUUAACAAAUCUGUAUGGCAUAGUCCUUGGACUUGCCACAUUGACUCGGACCCUGACAGUUCGUUAGGGUCUGGAGACAUUCACGCUUGUAUUGUAUGACUGAGUCAUGGUGAAAACGAAAUAAAGACAACUUUUAACAAUGGAUCUCUUGGCUCUU
rnacentral:misc_RNA from 1 species